rnacentral:lncRNA from 1 species
UUCCAGAAAAAGUUCAAAGGCGGAACUGGUUUUGUAGGUUGACUUCUGCAAGCAAACCUGGAGCUGUCAGUAGCCUUCCUCCUUGACAUGGGCCAACUUCCACCAAAGAAAAAAGAAGUCGAAGAACCUAUGUUUCAUCAACACCUUCUGCUAAAUUCUCCUGUGGCCCUGCACCUGGUACCCACACUCCUGACUGCACUGUUACUCCGUGCUGUAGUGAGCAUAUGGACACAUUGUUUAUCUUGAAGUUCCUUGAAGGUAGGAAUCUCAGCCUAUACGGUUAGGCCAGAUUGACAUAAUGGGGUCUCAACAUGCAUUUGUGAACUGAAUUGGGCUGAGCCUCAAGAUGAAGAACCAAUGGUCAAUUAUGUUAGUCUGUGAACAGAUAUUAAAGAAAAAGAGAAGCAGAAAAGAACUCCUCUCAUUCUAAUGCAAUUUAAUCCUCUAUAUUUCACAAGUGUCCAUGUACAAGGAUACUUCUGUGGAAUUUCAAAGCAAAUGGAAUCUUCCAAAUGUUGCGUGACUUGGCACCAAUGGUGAAAUAUAUUCUCUAGCUCUCUUUCUCUUACAUGCACACACACACACACACACACACACACACACACACACACACAAUUAAUACAUACUUGAGAGCACUAGACAUUCUACUGAAAUACUGAGUACUUUGGGCUGGGCACCCCAAUAUAACUGAAGUCAGUUAAGCCUCUUAGACUGAAUUCUAAGGGCUUUGCAAAGCAAUCAAAUGAGAAGGAAGAGCAGGCAUAACAUUUCAGCAAGUUCCAUGACGCAAUUCAAAAUCAGCCUUUCAGAGGUUCCCUUUUGAAAUUCCAUUUGCUGACAGAGUAUUUAUUAAUACAAUCCUUCAGCACAGGAAAUCGCUCACUGAACAAACAUGAAUACAUUUCCAAAGCCAUAUGUUAAAACCAUUUCAUUAUUUUUACCCAAAGUUCCCUCUAUGAAAAGAAUUUUUUAAAAAAAACCUUCAUUUUAGACUGUCCGGUGAGUACAAUCCCAUUAGCCCAGGCAGCUGCAUCUUUUGAUAAUUUCCCUUCCUAGAAAUAAAAUUUAAAUUCUUCAAAUGCUUCCUCUGGCUUUGUGAUUUUGUUUUAACCUGCUUGGAAACCAGGCUGAUGCCAAAUGUAAUACUGGGAGUUAGGUGAUCUAUGUCAGGAUGCUUUUCAGUGAGUGAAAAUGUAGAGAA